AUCACUUGGGGAUCUUGUAAAAAUGAAGAUUCUGAUUCAGCAGGUCUGGGGUGGGACUGAAGAUUCUGCAUUUCUCACAAGCUCCCAGGUGAUGCC
rnacentral:miRNA from 1 species